rnacentral:rRNA from 1 species
UACGUAGGGUGCAAGCGUUGUCCGGAAUUAUUGGGCGUAAAGAGCUCGUAGGCGGUCUGUCGCGUCGGCUGUGAAAUCUCGGGGCUCAACCCCGAGCCUGCAGUCGAUACGGGCAGACUAGAGUGCUGUAGGGGAGACUGGAAUUCCUGGUGUAGCGGUGAAAUGCGCAGAUAUCAGGAGGAACACCGGUGGCGAAGGCGGGGUCUCG